GAAUAUUGGACAAUGGGGGGAACCCUGAUCCAGCCAUGCCGCGUGUGUGAAGAGGGCCUUUUGGUUGUAAAGCACUUUAAGCGAGGAGGAGGCUACUCUAGUUAAUACCUAGGGAUAGUGGACGUUACUCGCAGAAUAAGCACCGGCUAACUUCGUGCCAGCAGCCGCGGUAAUACGAAGGGUGCAAGCGUUAAUCGGAAUUACUGGGCGUAAAGCGCGCGUAGGUGGUUUGUUAAGUUGGAAGUGAAAGCCCCGGGCUCAACCUGGGAACUGCUUUCAAAACUGGCAAGCUAGAGUAUGGGAGAGGAUGGUAGAAUUCCAGGUGUAGCGGUGAAAUGCGUAGAGAUCUGGAGGAAUACCGAUGGCGAAGGCAGCCAUCUGGGCUAAUACUGACACUGAGGUGCGAAAGCAUGGGGAGCAAACA
rnacentral:rRNA from 1 species